AUGGUGGAGGAGGAGGAGGCUUCGGCGGAGCUGAUCAGCCCCAGGAUCUCCUUCUCGCACGACCUCGCCGCCUUCGCGGCGGCCACCGCGGCGUGUCCGGCGACGACGCAGCCCGAGCCAAGGCGGUCGGACGCGUCCCUCAUGCCGCGGCGGAGGCGGCGGCGCGCGCCGGAGCCGGAGUUCGACUUCGCCAACGCGGCGGCCGCCGACGUCGCGCCGGCCGACCGCCUCUUCGCCGACGGCAAGCUGCUCCCCGUGCCGCCGCUGCCGCCCACCGCCCCGCACGCGCGCUGCGCCAAGGCGACGAGGCCGGCGCCGCGGUCGUGGGCGUCCCCGUUCGCGCGCAGCAGCAGCGUCAACUCCGCCAGGGCGGCGGCGUCCGGGAGGUUCACCUGCCCCGCGUUCCCGCUCAUGCGGAGCCGCUCGACCGGCUCUGCGGCGGCCGCGGCCACGGUCGGCGCCCACCAGCGGCCGCAUUGCAAGAAAGUCGCUCCGACGACGACGACGACGGCCGCAUCCGGUGCUGUUCACAACGGCAACAGCGGUGGUGGUGCGAGAUCGGUUUACUACUACGGAUACGGCGGCGGCAGGAACGGCACCGACGGCCAUGGUGGCGGCGGGGUCCGGGUGAGCCCGGUGCUGAACGUGACGUCCAUCGGCACCAGCGUGGUGAACAUGCUGAGCCACCUGCUGUGCGACUGCGGCGAGAAGGCCAGCAAGCAGCAGAGCAGGGGCUUCGGGGUGCGCUGCUGGGUAACCAGAUAG
rnacentral:rRNA from 1 species